UACGGGGGGGGCAAGCGUUGUUCGGAAUUACUGGGCGUAAAGGGCUCGUAGGUGGCCAACUAAGUCACACGUGAAAUCCCUCGGCUUAACCGGGGAACUGCGUGUGAUACUGGAUGGCUUGAGUUUGGGAGAGGGAUGCGGAAUUCCAGGUGUAGCGGUGAAAUGCGUAGAUAUCUGGAGGAACACCGGUGGCGAAGGCGGCUCUCUAGUACGGUACUGACGCUGAGACGCGAAAGCGUGGGGAGCGAACAGG
rnacentral:rRNA from 1 species